AUUAUACCACUUUGUUUCAUGUAACCCCUUGGUUUAGCUACAAUGAAUAUUUUGCUGGGCAAUACAACAAUGACUUACUGGUACUGUCUAAUUGUUCUGUAGUGUCUGCUGCCAUGGGAAGGUAAAAAAAGCACACAGGCUUUGUAUACUCAGAUUUAACAUGAACUAUACUCAAAGAUAAUUCUUUUACUUAUAUCAAAUAUGCAGUGGUUACCCAGUUUGGGUUUUAUUUUCAGAGGUAUCACUUAAGAAUAGUAUGCCCUCAUUAAACAGGAAUUGCUUAAUUCUCAUCCCUUGACUACAGAAAAUUUGACAAGUCAGUUUUGGAUCAAAAGCUGAGAUGAGUGCUGAGAAAUACUAGUGUGGGAAGGAUUAUAUUUAUACUUUCUCUGCUGUAAGUCGUCAUCAAUGGUGCUGUUCAAUGUUCAUCUGUGUUUUAAGAAGGUAUGAAUCACUUCAGUGAUUCCAGUUAACGUGAAGGUGGGGAGGAAGAUUAGAAAGGAGGAAUUUAAUGUCCUUCAACCCUGCAAAAUGUUGGGGAGCUUACUCAGCUCUCUUCUUCAGUAGCCUGUUUUUCUACUAAGGGAGAAUUUCCUUACAGACAAGGAAGCGGGAGACUUAUUUCAAUGUCAAAUGCUGAAGCAAAAGACAAAACAUUUGCCACUGUGCAAGUAAUUUGCCACUGUACAAAGACCAGGAGAAGAAUGAGCAAAGGGACCAUUUCAAAUUAAACAAUACAAUAAUCUCCUUCUUUGUAAAGAGGAAUUGAAUGCUAUCAUAUGGAAGCUGUUCUCAAAAUAAUACUUCAUUUUAUCAGUAGGGAUUAAUUUCAGUUUUUAAAAUGCUAGGUAUGCACCCGUAUCCCUCAUCCACAUGUGCAGUUGUCACAGCUGUGGGAGCACAUUGGACAUGCAGAUAACAAGGAACUGAAAAUUUAUGUUGAUUGCAACUCCAGCUGUGAGCGCAACAUUUUGUAUUGGUUCCAUGCUAGUUGUGCUCAUCUGGGCACAACUGUGAAAGGCCUUCAGUGUAGCAAAGCUUUUAGGAUGGUGCUUAUUCAAGGAAACUCUUAAGUCUAAAUCUUUGUCAGCAGCAUGAUGUGGAGAUUCUUUGAUUACACAAAUGUUUCCCAUCGUGACAUGCACAGGGUGAGUUGUGUUAUCACUGCAGUUAAGCAGCUGGGAUGUGCAGCUUCCUUAGCAAAUUUGGGAAUUUCUUCUCCAGCACAAUCUUCUUGUUCCCACCACAUUUGGAGAAGGCAAUUUACAGAAGUAAAUAGCAGCAUUUCCAUUGCUGUUCAAGGUAAGGAGCAGCUGACACCAAGCUAAGCAUAUGGCUGAAAGCCACACACAGAGGAAACAAAUCUGAGAAAAAGAAACACGAGCUUUGUUACCCAGAUUGGUUACAGAACCCUGCAGCUCCUCAAGGAACAGUAUUCAUCACCACUGAUAGAGAUGGAUUAAUGUGGAUUCAUUAAGCUGCAACCAACGCAGUGACUUGAAUGCAAUGGUUUUACAUAAUAUAUAGUCCUAACCAGCAUGACUGGUGUAUUUGAAGUGACCCAAGAGAUUCAGACAUUUUUGGUACCAGCUUUUCAUGAGGUUAGUCAUCUCCUAUUAAUUCCCUUGUAAAUAUCUUAGAGGGUACUGCCUGUUGUUAAAAGGCUGUACAUAAAGGCCUUUCAUGCAAGACUGAGGAUAUGUUUCCACCAUACAGCAGGUUUGGCAACAAAGUUGGCUUAGAAAGUUCAUGCUCUAACUCAUCUGCAUUUGCCUCUUCUGCAGGGUGUGUUGCCCACUCCAGCGUGCCAGUGUAACUGGAGCUGCACUGUCAGCUGGGUAAUGGAAAUGCUCUGUAUUCAAAUGAAUUAUGCCUUAAGAAUCUUGGGUAUUGCUUUAAUGCUGUAAGAAUCUAUCACAUGAAUACAUGUUAUUUAUUUGUGAAUGGCAUAAGCACUGAAGUGAGAAUAGCAUAGUGGAAACAAAACUCUAAAGAUACGUGUUACUGAUGAUUUAUCCUAAUACAAUGGCUGCAUCUACAGUCAUUUACUAGAAGUAUAAACAAAGAUGUAUGUUAUGCCCUUUAAAGGAGCCUUUUUAACUUUAUUUCUUUAACACCAAAGGUGUAUCUAUCUUGUUAAGAGUAAACAUAGAAAUCCUCCAAGGGGAAUAAUAAAGUAAAGCCUUAUACAACUAAAGUAUUGGCAGGAUCAACCUUGACAUUAAUACUAAAAUAGCUCACUGUCACAUCUGCAGCUCCCCAAGCAGCCCUCUCAAGAGGCUUUCAGGAAAUCACUGGGGAACAUACCUGAGCUGUCUUUGAUGAAAAGGACCAGAAGGAGUUAAAUCUAGGAGAGCAGACUUUUUUUUUUUUUUCAUUAGCUACUGCAGUGACAAGAUGCCCAUUGACUCCUAGGUGGGUGGCUGUGCAGAACUGCCCUCCCAUGCCAUGCCAGGGGCACUUGAGCAUGCCUAACAAAGAUGCCUCCACUUAAAAUCUCCACCCCUCCCUUGCUCACUUGCUUGGCCAUUUCAGCUAUGACUGUGGAGUCAUAGGGCUGUGCCAUGCUGUUGCAUGAGAUUAAGAGAGCUGUAGUAACACACUAGAAUGAUAGGAAUGAGCCCACUAUUCAUGGGUGAGGCUAAACAAAACUUCCAGGAAAAUGAAUCCACAAUUUCACCAACAGAUCAUAUGGCUCCCCACACAGUAACCCAGGUCCCUGGAAGGGCCUGCUCCACCCCCUCAGUGCAGAAACUGGCCUGGGACCAGCACGCUGUCUAGGAUACUCAGUGCCUGUGACCCACUUAUUCCACAGAUCAAGAUAUGCCUUGUGUUUAAAGUAUUCAUCAGCCUCUUGAUAAGACAGGUGAUGAACAAGUGAAAACCCAUCAGUGGCCCCUACGCAUCUGGGAAGUGCCAUGCUUUAAGUCAGAUAAAUUUUUAAGAACAUUGCUUCUGCCAACAGAUACCAGCAAGCUGUUUCAUAAUAGUAUCAUAAACUUCAACUUCCAGCUACCUGACACAUUUCCUUGCCACACCAAAGAGGUCACUGCUGCACCAGUAGUGGGUCUGGGAUUCAAUGCUGCUGGGAACUGAAGCUUUCAAGCAUGUGUUUUCUGACAGAGGUGUCGCCUGGAGCAUAUGGUGAGGGCAUCCAUUGUGGAGUUGAAGCGGUGAAGAGAGAGAGCUGUCUUGGUACCUGUGACCAUGAGCAACCAGGCUUUGUACACAGAACAACAACAGUGGUGUUCUCUCCAUGCAGUUGGUCUAUAGUAUAGCAAAUAAGACCUUACCACACAGCAUUUGCAGGCAGGCUGCUGGUAGGGCUCAUCUGUCAUGGCUUAGCACAGCUGGGCUGCAUGCAUUCCUGUGUGAUAGCCAGAUAUUUUGCAUCCUACCAUUCUUGGCUGCCCUUUUAUAUUCUCUCCAUAUCAGAUACCGUGGUAUACAGGAACCUGCAGUGAAUUCUUCAGUGACUGGCAGAAAAUCAUUUACCACAUCAUUCCCUCACAUGGUGGCAUUGCUUGUGAAGCGUGUCUGCUCAUUCCCAGUGUGUGACUCUUUGUUUUCAGGUGCUAUAGCCAGAGAUCUGCUGCCUUGAGGGAGCAUUUACCUUUGGGCAUGCAUGCUCUUCAUCACUUACUCUGAGAACAAACGUUCUUCCAAAUCAGACAGACCAUGUAGCUCUCCAAAACCAGCAGCCAGGCUCAGGAGCUCCCAGAGGAGCUGUG